rnacentral:rRNA from 1 species
UACGUAGGGUGCAAGCGUUUAAUCGGAAUUACUGGGCGUAAAGCGUGCGCAGGCGGUUUUGUAAGUCUGUCGUGAAAUCCCCGGGCUCAACCUGGGAAUUGCGAUGGAGACUGCAAGGCUAGAAUCUGGCAGAGGGGGGUAGAAUUCCACGUGUGAGCAGUGAAAUGCGUAGAGAUGUGGAGGAACACCGAUGGCGAAGGCAGCCCCCUGGGUCAAGAUUGACGCUCAUGCACGAAAGCGUGGGGAGCAACAAGG